rnacentral:rRNA from 1 species
UACGUAGGGCGCAAGCGUUGUCCGGAAUUAUUGGGCGUAAAGAGCUCGUAGGCGGUCUGUCGCGUCUGCCGUGAAAUCCCGAGGCUUAACCUCGGGCCUGCGGUGGAUACGGGCAGACUAGAGGUAGGUAGGGGAGAAUGGAAUUCCCGGUGUAGCGGUGGAAUGCGCAGAUAUCAGGAGGAACACCGGUGGCGAAGGCGGGUCCCUGGACAACACCUGACACUGAGGCACGAAAGCUAGGGGAGCGAAACAGG